UUAGGGUGAUUUUCACUGAUUUCAUGUUUAGUUUCGACAUGCUGAAACCAUUGAACUUAAGUAGAUAUUUGAUUGUGUAUUUAAGUUAUAUAUGCUCAUGUACAAGCUAAGAGGAAUUGUUUGACGAAGUGGACUUUGGUUGGUCUAUGGGUAGACGAUUUGAACUCCUCGAGUUGUGGUAGAACUUGUUGUGCGGUAAAACACCAAGGUUUGUGUAUAAAAUUGAACUUGGAAUAUCUUUAUUUUCUGGAAGUUUUGAAGUAUCUUGAUUGGUUGUUUCCUUACUCUUCAUCUUAUAUCAUUGUAUGGCUAUUAUCUCAAGUAUUGCAAAACAUUCGCUAAAUCGCCCACUUGUACGAAUUGCUUGAUCAUUUUGCAUUCUUGUUGGGACUUUGUCCUUCUUGUUACAGUGACUUUGUCAUCGAUAUCGGCACGCCUCUUGAUUCGGAUCUUGCCCAUCUUGAUUUUGGAUUUACAUUUCGUCUUGAUGAUGGACUUUUAUCCAUUCUCGAGUAUGAGUGGAAAGCCACUUUAAACAUGGCUCUUGAUUCUCUUGAUUAUUGGGUGACGACCCUUCUUGAUUUGGGGCUUCGGUCCAUCUUGAAAUUGAUUGUGCUUGGUGUGAUGGCAUGACGUACAUAUUGGGCGAAAUUGGUUAUUUGACAAACUCUCUUGAAUUGAUAUAUAAGCUUUCUUGACACUUGAGCCUUCAAAUAUUGAUUUCGACAUUUGGAAACUCUUCAAGGUUUGAUAUUUGAUACUUUGAUAUACUUGAUUUAUUAUUAUCUUAUUGAGCUACCUAGGACAGAUAAGGGAAUUGGAAAAUCUAAUGGCUCCAAGCCCAAAGUUUAUACACCACUAAGCUUUAUGCUUAGCGAUAGUUGUUUUCUAUCGUAGGUAAUGUACAGGAAGAGAUUUGAAGAUGGCCAUUUGGAGUAGACUUUUUGGGAGCCUUAGUGAAGAUCAAAUUUGUAUAUGCAUCUAGGUCUUGUAAAAUUUUGGGGACUUGUACAUGAUCCAUAUGUAACACUUAUGUAUGAAAUUUUGGAGGCUUGUUGGACACAAGACCAUAUGCUUGUAACUUGAACUUGGUGACUUGUUUUGCUGUUUUAGGGUGUGCUUUCAACGCAAGUCAUGGCAUGUACUGGGUUUAUAUUUUGCCUUGUAAUUAUGUACAAAGGAAGAUACUAGUUUUCUGUGAUAAUCGCAAGUUUGGGUUUCGUGUAUCUUAUGGACCUGCAGUGGUGUUGAUUUGAAAAUAUGAUUUUAAAACGAAGUUUCUUAAAUGUAUUGACUAUUUGAGGAGGGCGUUACCAUUUUAAAUUGAUACUCUGAUAUUGUAUUUCAUCUAAGAAAUUUUUCAGAGGGUAUAAUAGAAAAAAAAAUGUCGCACAUUCAACCCUUUUUCGCAUGGGCCUAUUUCCGCUAUUAUAUAUUUUGUGAAUAUCUUUUGGCAUAAAUUUCUUCUAAAUGUUUUAAGUAUUAAAUUAGCUUUUGUUUCGUAAGUGGUAUCCUCCCAAAGGGGAUGCUACAAUCAAAGUGAGAAUCAAGUGCUAAAAGUUUUCAAAGUAUUGUUGAAGCUUGUUCUCCUUCUUGUAGAAGCUUUGGAGGAUACUUCAAAGUGAUGUAAUCUUGGAAUUGAAGUGUUCCUGAGCUCUUGAGGAUUGGGGCUUUAGUUGUGAUAAGCUCGUUGUUGGAUUUUGGACGACUUGAGGUAUGUUAAGGGUAACUUUCUUUCUUUUGGCAUGAUCCUUAUGAACGGAACGUAAACGUAACGUUACUCCAUAAUGAAUCCAUUCUUAGCAGCCACGGAUGUCCAUGUUGAUUCAUGAUCUGGAAUUUUAUUUCCAGUAAGUCCUUAUUCAGAUUCAGAGUGAUUCAUAGAGUCAUUUGUUAACGAAAAUGCUGUCACAUAACGAUGUUCAAAGCUAUAACGACCUUAUGUCACUCCGACAGAUUCAGGAUA